AAGUAAAUAUUAUUCAGUUCUAUAGAUUAUAACAGGGACAAAAGUCAUGUUAAACAACAAACUUUACAUACUGUCGAGUUACCUAAAGAAGAAAACAAGAAAGUAGAAAUAAAUGAGAAUUUUAUAGCUUUACAUUUGAUGUAAAAAGUACACGCUUUGUCUUCAGUGAGAACUAAAGAAAAAAAGUUUCGAUUUUAGGCAGGGACCUAAAGAUUGGCAAACUUCCACCUGUAACUAUGACAUUACCGAAAGAGAACUAGCCAUUCUACUACAAAUUACCAUAAGAAUAGACAAAAUAUACAAUGUAAUAGUUUUCAGGCACUGGGACACAUGUAAUGCAAGAAAGAAAACCCAGAAAGAAGGGAAACUCAAAAGUCAGGCUGCUCCCUCCUCAGCUGCCUGGGAGCAAUUUUCUUACAAGGGCAGACAGCUAGAGUUCAAGCAGAGCACAGUAGUUCCACUAAGCUGAGGAGGCAUGGGCUAGAGUUCAGGUAAGCUAAUCAAGCAGACAUUGCAUGUUCACCAAGAAAGACCACAUGCUAGGCCAUAAAAAAAGUCUCAAGAAAUUUCAAAAUAUUGAAAUUCCAUAAAUUAUGCUGUCUAACCACAACAGAAUUAAAUUAGAAAUCAACUACAAUAAAAUAUAAAAUCUUCCAAUAUUUGGAAACGAAACCACAUAUUUCUAAAUAAUCUAUUGGUCAAAGAUGAAAUGACAAAGAAAAUUAGAAAAUAUUUUGAAUUACACUAUAAUAAAGACACACACACCAAAUUAUGGAAUACAGUUAAAGGAGUGCUUAGAGGCACAUAUAUAGCUUUAAAUGCUUAUAUCAAAAAAGGAAGACCUGAAAUCACUAAUCCAUACCUCUGCAUUAAAAACUUUAAAAAGUCCAGGGAGGGAUAGCAUUGGGAGAAAUACCUAAUGUAGAUUAUGGGUUGAUGGGUGCAGCAAACCACCAUGGCAUGUGUAUACCUAUGUAACAAACCUGUACGUUCUGCACAUGUAUCCCAGAACUUAAAGUAUAAUAAAAAACAAUUUAAAAAAACUUAAAAGUAAAUUAAAUUCAAAAUAUAAUAAAGAAAAGAAAGCAGAAAUUAGGAACAGAAAAUAAAAAAAUUAACAAAACCAAAAAUUGGUUCUUUGACAAUAUUAAUAAAAUUAAUAAAACCACAGUAAUAGACAUCAAGAAGAAAAGGAGAGAAAACAUAAAUCAUCAAUAUCAGAAAUAAAAGAUGAGUUAUCACAACAAAUCUAAAGACAGCAAAAGAAUAAUAAGAGAAUAGCAGGAACAAUUUAUGCCAAUACAUUCUAUAACUUAUUUAAAAUAGACAAAAAGUUCAAAAAAUAACUUACCAAAACUGACUUUAAUAUAGAUGUGCAUUAUGCUAAGUGACAUAAGCCAGACACAAAUGAACAAUACUAUAUGAUUCCACUGAUAUGAAGUAUUUAGAAGAGGCAAAUGCAUAGAAAAAGAAAGUAGAACAGAGACUGCCAAGGCCUGGGGUAAGGGAAGAAGGGUGUUACUGCUUAAUGGGCACAGAGUUUCUACCUGGGACCAUGGAAAAGUUUUAGAAAUAGAUGGUGACAACAGUUGCAUGACAUUGUGAAUAUAGUUAAUGUCAUUACAUUGUAUACUUAAAAAUGGUUAAAAUGCCAGAAGUUGAGGCACAAGAAUUGCUUGAAUUUGGGAGGCAGAGGCUGCAGUGAGCUGAGAUCACGCCACUGCACAGCCUGGGUGAUAAGAGCGAGACUCUCUCAAAAAAAAAAAAAAAAGUUAAAAUGGCAAAUUUUGUUAUAUAUACCUUGCCAUAAUUUUUAAGACUUUAAAGAAAUUAAUUCAAAAGGAGUUAAGAUUCAAACAUAAAAGCUAAAAUUACAAACUUCUAGAAGAAAACAUUGGAGAAAAUCUUCAUGAUCUUGGGAUGGGCACAGAUUUCUUGGACAGAAUGAGUGAGUACUAACUAUAAAAACUCACAAAGAACAUCAAAAUUAAGACCUUCUGCUCUCUGAAAGACAUCCUUCCAAAAAGGAAAAGACAAGCUGGAGAAAAAUAAGUCACAAUAUAUAUAGUGAUGCAUCACUUAACAACAGAGAUACCUUCUGAGAAAUGCAUUGUUAGGCGAUUUCAUCAUUAUGUGAACAUCAUGGAGUAUACCUGCAUAAACCUAGAUGGUAUAGCCUACCACACACAUAGGCUAUAUGGUAUUGUAUAGCCUAUAGACUGCUUCCAGGCCGCAAACCUGUAUAGCAUGUUACUGCAUUGAAUACUGUAAGCAACUGUAACACAAUGUUUUGGAAGUCUUCCACCAAAUGUCCAAAGAAUUAACCUGUGAGUCACAUCAGAGAAGUACACCUCACGUGGACCAUCCAUGUACAUCAGUGCUUGGUUCCCACAGAGGCACGGAAGCGCAUCCGUGGAAAUCCAUCCCUUCCGACUUCCUUACACCUAUACAAAAGCCUGCAUUUGAUGCCCAGGACUCCAGAUCAGUACAUUCUGUGACAACUAAGGCACAGUGGAACAAGAAGGGCCCAACCACAUAAAGCUCCAGGAGAGUAGGAAUUAGUCUUGCUCUCAAGGACAUUCCUGGCACCCAGCAGAAUACCUAGCCUAGUAGGCAACAAAUGAAUACUGGAUGAAUAAAUCUAUGAAUCCAUCAAGAAGCAAGCUUGAGAAUGAGGCCAAAACACAGAGGAAGGCAAAAGAGCAAUGAAGCUGAGCAAAUACACCAGACUACCCAACUCUGAA